rnacentral:tRNA from 1 species
GCCCUUCUGGCGCAAUGGUAGCGCGCCAGACUUCUAAUCUGGAGGUUGUGGGUUCGAGUCCCACGAGGGGUG